GGGUGUAUAGCUCAGUUGUAAAGCUUUCGACUGCAGAUUGAGAGGUCUCCGAUUCAACCCCGGGUUUUCCCA